rnacentral:misc_RNA from 1 species
GGAAUUGACUUGCUUAUAUAAAAUCCGCAACACCGUGAAUGAUGAGGCUUCACAAUAACUGAAACAAAGUGGUAUAUCCGAACUAUUGAUUUUCCAUAAUUAAACAAUCGGAUUCAAACCAUUAUAUGGUUAGAAAACCAGGAUAUUGCCAUAAAAAUAUAAAAAAGAAAUGAAAAAGACUGAAGCUUGAACCAUUUGAAAAUAAAAACUCAAGGAUAUGCAAUCACUGGUUGCGAUUCACGUUUAAAUCAAUAAGAAAUAAAAGCACACACUAACAGCUUGUUUGGGAGGAAGUUUUUUGAGGUAAAGUGUCAUGCUUGUUUGGGAGGGAGGUUUUGUAAAAGAAGUAAUGUUACUUUCUUUCUUUCGGUUA